AGUGAUUUGUAUGCCGGGGCGAAAGGACAACGCCGGAUUGGAGGCAGAAAAACAGCCGCUCGCCGUUCCUGCUCACUCAGACGCUGGUGAAAGACGAGCAACAAGAAGGCAGGCAGAGAGCAAGAGAGAGAGAGAGGGGGAUGGAGGGAUGAGAUGAGAGAUAAGAAGAGAGACCUGCUUGGUAUUCACCUGUCUCUCCGGAUCAAUAAAGAAUGACCUCAGUCUCCUGGCUCAGCCAAUCAGAUCGACCGGAUGACCUCAAUAUCCUGGUCCACCCGAUCAGAACAUCUAAAUGUGUUGUGGUGUGAUGAGGUCUGCUGCAGAGGUGUCGCUCUGCGCCCUGGUUCAAUGAUUUUCCCAGGUCCUGUGCUGUUUUUGCCCCGGGCUGACUCAAUAGCAGGCCUUAAAUCCUCCAUCUGGAAGCAUGGACCUGCUCACUAGUCUCAGUCAUCUGCUCCUGCUUUUUAAUUGGUUGUCCAC